rnacentral:rRNA from 1 species
CGAGUUUGAUCCUGGCUCAGAUUGAACGCUGGCGGAAUGCUUUACACAUGCAAGUCGAACGGCAGCACGGGGGCAACCCUGGUGGCGAGUGGCGAACGGGUGAGUAAUACAUCGGAACGUGCCCAGUCGUGGGGGAUAACGUAGCGAAAGCUACGCUAAUACCGCAUACGAUCUACGGAUGAAAGCGGGGGAUCGCAAGACCUCGCGCGAUUGGAGCGGCCGAUGGCAGAUUAGGUAGUUGGUGGGGUAAAGGCUCACCAAGCCUUCGAUCUGUAGCUGGUCUGAGAGGACGACCAGCCACACUGGGACUGAGACACGGCCCAGACUCCUACGGGAGGCAGCAGUGGGGAAUUUUGGACAAUGGGCGAAAGCCUGAUCCAGCCAUUCCGCGUGCAGGAUGAAGGCCCUCGGGUUGUAAACUGCUUUUGUACGGACGAAACGGCCUUUUCUAAUACAGAGGGCUAAUGACGGUACCGUAAGAAUAAGCACCGGCUAACUACGUG